rnacentral:rRNA from 1 species
UACGUAGGUGGCAAACGUUGUCCGGAUUUGCUGGGUGUAAAGGGCGUGCAGCCGGGAGUGCAAGUCAGAUGUGAAAUCCAUGGGCUCAACCCAUGAACUGCAUUUGAAACUGUACUUCUUGAGUACCGGGGGGGCAAUCGGAAUUCCUAGUGUAGCGGUGAAAUGCGUAGAUAUUAGGAGGAACACCAGUGGCGAAGGCGGAUUGCUGGACGGCAACUGACGGUGAGGCGCGAAUGUGUGGGGAGCAAAC